UUCCGACGAACUUUCAUGCAACCCAAAAUGGCGUGUACGGCAGCGCGUGGUAGUCGGGGCCGCCAUCUCGUGGUGGCUCAUGAAGGUGCGUGUGGCGGUGCGUGGGGGUACCCGAGGUCCCUCCUUAUGUUUUUCGACGUCUUGAAUUCGUUUAUGAUGUUUGUUUCUCAAAAUUCAACCAUUUUAGUAUAGUUUUAUUAAUUGGUACCUUUAUGUGCUUAGGUGCAAUUGUUUGUGGCGUUACCGUCCACCCUUGCUUGCACGGCUCUUCACCAGCGGUGUAAGGUGAGUAGACCUCUUCCAAAAUGUAUAUUUUACUAGUAGAAAUGCAAACAUGAAAAGCAUGAUUUAAUGGCUACGUUUUAUGAAACAUUUAUGAGUAAAUUGGAUUUACACUUUUAUGAUAUAUUAUAUGAUUGAUAACUAUAUACCUACUUACGAACAUCGUUUUACUAUAUGACAUUUUAGUUACUAAGCUCCGAUUUGGGAUAUAUAUUAGAAAUAUUAUGUUAAUAUUCUUAUGUACUUAGUGGUUAUUUAUACAAACUGCCUACGGGUGAAUGAUCUGCCUACAG
rnacentral:lncRNA from 1 species